rnacentral:rRNA from 1 species
GGGGAAUAUUGGACAAUGGGCGCAAGCCUGAUCCAGCAAUGCCGCGUGUGUGAAGAAGGCCUGCGGGUUGUAAAGCACUUUAAGCAGGAAAGAAGGGGUGGGAGUUAAUACCUUUCAUCAUUGACGUUACCUGCAGAAUAAGCACCGGCUAACUCCGUGCCAGCAGCCGCGGUAAUACGGAGGGUGCGAGCGUUAAUCGGAAUUACUGGGCGUAAAGCGCGCGUAGGCGGUUUGAUCAGUCCGUCGUGAAAGCCCCGGGCUUAACCUGGGAACUGCGGUGGAUACUGUCGGGCUAGAGUGUGGUAGAGGGGAGUGGAAUUUCCGGUGUAGCAGUGAAAUGCGUAGAGAUCGGAAGGAACACCAGUGGCGAAGGCGGCUCCCUGGACUAACACUGACGCUGAGGUGCGAAAGCGUGGGGAGCAAAC